rnacentral:rRNA from 1 species
CGCCAGACUCCUACGGGAGGCAGCAGUGGGGAAUAUUGCACAAUGGGGGAAACCCUGAUGCAGCGACGCCGCGUGAGCGAUGAAGUAUUUCGGUAUGUAAAGCUCUAUCAGCAGGGAAGAAGAUGACGGUACCUGACUAAGGAGCCCCGGCUAACUACGUGCCAGCAGCCGCGGUAAUACGUAGGGGGCAAGCGUUAUCCGGAUUUACUGGGUGUAAAGGGAGCGUAGACGGCGAUGCAAGCCAGAUGUGAAAGCCCGGGGCUCAACCCCGGGACUGCAUUUGGAACUGUGUGGCUGGAGUGUCGGAGAGGCAGGCGGAAUUCCUAGUGUAGCGGUGAAAUGCGUAGAUAUUAGGAGGAACACCAGUGGCGAAGGCGGCCUGCUGGACGAUGACUGACGUUGAGGCUCGAAAGCGUGGGGAGCAAACAGGAUUAGAUACCCCAGUA